UGAACGCUGGCGGCAGGCCUAACACAUGCAAGUCGCGCGGAUGAAGGGAGCUUGCUCCUGGAUUCAGCGGCGGACGGGUGAGUAAUGCCUAGGAAUCUGCCUGGUAGUGGGGGAUAACGUCCGGAAACGGGUGCUAAUACCGCAUACGUCCUGAGGGAGAAAGUGGGGGAUCUUCGGACCUCACGCUAUCAGAUGAGCCUAGGUCGGAUUAGCUAGUUGGUGGGGUAAAGGCCUACCAAGGCGACGAUCCGUAACUGGUCUGAGAGGAUGAUCAGUCACACUGGAACUGAGACACGGUCCAGACUCCUACGGGAGGCAGCAGUGGGGAAUAUUGGACAAUGGGCGAAAGCCUGAUCCAGCCAUGCCGCGUGUGUGAAGAAGGUCUUCGGAUUGUAAAGCACUUUAAGUUGGGAGGAAGGGCAGUAAGUUAAUACCUUGCUGUUUUGACGUUACCAACAGAAUAAGCACCGGCUAACUUCGUG
rnacentral:rRNA from 1 species